GGCACAUGUGACGGUUCAGAGGCUCCAGAGGACAAAUGAUGAGCCAGAUGUAACCAACAAUGCGGGUAAUCUUUCUACUCAAGUCUUAAAAGUUUUACGGUGGAAAGAAUAUUGGACAAAAG